GGAACAGCAUCAGAGACUAUGGAGAACUCUCUAGGAGGGCAGGUCAACAAGGUGAGGUCUGGUUACACCUCUAAAUAACAUGAGAGUUCCAGAUGGAACAGCAUUAGACUAUGGAGAACUCUCUAGGAGGGCAGGUCAACAAGGUGAGGUCUGGUUACACCUCUAAAUAACAUGAGAGUUCCAGAUGGAAUAGCAUCAGAGACUAUGGAGAACUCUCUAGGAGGGCAGGUCAACAAGGUGAGGUCUGGUUACACCUCUAAAUAACAUGAGAGUUCCAGAUGGAAUAGCAUCAGAGACUAUGGAGAACUCUCUAGGAGGGUAGGUCAACAAGGUGAGGUCUGGUUACACCUCUAAAUAACAUGAGAGUUCCAGAUGGAAUAGCAUCAGAGACUAUGGAGAACUCUCUAGGAGGGCAGGUCAACAAGGUGAGGUCUGGUUACACCUCUAAAUAACAUGAGAGUUCCAGAUGGAAUAGCAUCAGAGACUAUGGAGAACUCUCUAGGAGGGCAGGUCAACAAGGUGAGGUCUGGUUACACCUCUAAAUAACAUGAGAGUUCCAGAUGGAACAGCAUCAGAGACUAUGGAGAACUCUCUAGGAGGGCAGGUCAACAAGGUGAGGUCUGGUUACACCUCUAAAUAACAUGAGAGUUCCAGAUGGAACAGCAUCAGAGACUAUGGAGAACUCUCUAGGAGGGCAGGUCAACAAGGUGAGGUCUGGUUACACCUCUAAAUAACAUGAGAGUUCCAGAUGGAAUAGCAUCAGAGACUAUGGAGAACUCUCUAGGAGGGCAGGUCAACAAGGUGAGGUCUGGUUACACCUCUAAAUAACAUGAGAGUUCCAGAUGGAAUAGCAUCAGAGACUAUGGAGAACUCUCUAGGAGGACAGGUCAACAAGGUGAGGUCUGGUUACACCUCUAAAUAACAUGAGAGUUCCAGAUGGAACAGCAUCAGAGACUAUGGAGAACUCUCUAGGAGGGCAGGUCAACAAGGUGAGGUCUGGUUACACCUCUAAAUAACAUGAGAGUUCCAGAUGGAACAGCAUCAGACUAUGGAGAACUCUCUAGGAGGGCAGGUCAACAAGGUGAGGUCUGGUUACACCUCUAAAUAACAUGAGAGUUACAGAUGGAACAGCAUUAGACUAUGGAGAACU